GAUGAACGCUAGCUACAGGCUUAACACAUGCAAGUCGAGGGGCAGCAUGAUUGAAGCUUGCUUCAAUUGAUGGCGACCGGCGCACGGGUGAGUAACACGUAUCCAACCUGCCGAUAACUCGGGGAUAGCCUUUCGAAAGAAAGAUUAAUACCCGAUAGUAUAGUAUUUCCGCAUGGUUUCACUAUUAAAGAAUUUCGGUUAUCGAUGGGGAUGCGUUCCAUUAGAUAGUUGGCGGGGUAACGGCCCACCAAGUCAACGAUGGAUAGGGGUUCUGAGAGGAAGGUCCCCCACAUUGGAACUGAGACACGGUCCAAACUCCUACGGGAGGCAGCAGUGAGGAAUAUUGGUCAAUGGACGAGAGUCUGAACCAGCCAAGUAGCGUGAAGGAUGACUGCCCUAUGGGUUGUAAACUUCUUUUAUACGGGAAUAAAGUGGAGUAUGCAUACUCCUUUGUAUGUACCGUAUGAAUAAGGAUCGGCUAACUCCGUGCCAGCAGCCGCGGUAAUACGGAGGAUCCGAGCGUUAUCCGGAUUUAUUGGGUUUAAAGGGAGCGUAGGCGGGUGCUUAAGUCAGUUGUGAAAGUUUGCGGCUCAACCGUAAAAUUGCAGUUGAUACUGGGCGCCUUGAGUGCAGCAUAGGUAGGCGGAAUUCGUGGUGUAGCGGUGAAAUGCUUAGAUAUCACGAAGAACUCCGAUUGCGAAGGCAGCUUACUGGACUGUAACUGACGCUGAUGCUCGAAAGUGUGGGUAUCAGACAGG
rnacentral:rRNA from 1 species